rnacentral:rRNA from 1 species
CAGCAGCCGCGGUAAUACGAAGGGGGCUAGCGCUGUUCGGAAUUACUGGGCGUGAAGCGCACGUAGGCGGAUAUUUAAGUCAGGGGUGAAAUCCCAGAGCUCAACUCUGGAACUGCCUUUGAUACUGGGUAUCUUGAGUAUGGAAGAGGUGAGUGGAAUUCCGAGUGUAGAGGUGAAAUUCGUAGAAAUUCGGAGGAACACCAGUGGCGAAGGCGGCUCACUGGUCCAUUACUGACGCUGAGGUGCGAAAGCGUGGGGAGCAAACAGGAUUAGAUACCCCGGUAGUCCCUGUCUCUUAUCA